GUGCUUGCUUCGGCAGCACAUGCACUAAGAUUAGAAUGAUACAGAGAUUAGCAUGGCCUCUGCACGGGGAUGACAUGCAAAUUCAUGAAGCGUUCUGCUCCAAA